AUUGAACGCUGGCGGCAGGCCUAACACAUGCAAGUCGAACGAGUGGCGGACGGGUGAGUAAUGUCUGGGAAACUGCCUGAUGGAGGGGGAUAACUACUGGAAACGGUAGCUAAUACCGCAUACCAUCGGAUGUGCCCAGAUGGGAUUAGCUUGUUGGUGGGGUAACGGCUAACCAAUGCGACGAUCCCUAGCUGGUUUGAGAGGAUGACCGUCCACACUGGAACUGAGACACGGUCCAGAGUCCUCCGGGAGGCAGCAGUGGGGAAUAUUGCACAAUGGGCGCAAGCCUUAUGCAGCCAUGCCGCGGGUAUUAAGAAGGCCUUCGGGUUGUAAAGUACUUUCAGCGGGGAGGCGUUACCCGCAGAAGAAGCACCGGCUAACUCCGUGCCAGCAGCCGCGGUAAUUC
rnacentral:rRNA from 1 species